CUUUUAUUGAUAGCUUGUAUAGUUUGUGUUUCUUCCAAGUUGCCCUCCUCCAUGCUCUUGUCUCUGUUAAUCUAUCUUCUCUGUUAGAGACACUUCUCACACAUUUAGUGGUAUUUCUUUGUGAUGAACUCAAAAUUAUUCAGAAGCUUUAAGCAUGUGGUGGGGCCUUCUCACUUUCAGUUUUGUGUCAGUAUAUUCUGGAAGGGCCAUUUGUUUUGGAAUCCCAUGCUGGUAUCUUCAGUCUUUUAGGGCAAUCAGAUUCUCCAAGAACAUUGUGAUAGUCUCUUUCCUAUAGGAUAAAAGUCUGAAUACCCUAUCUCUGGCAGCUCAGUGUAUGGGGAGCAGGUAGGAUAGCUGGACUGGAUGUUCAGUGACUAAAUCCACCUCUUUUUAGUACACUUGGCUAGGCUGACCUCAGGUUUUUCCAGAGAAAGGCCCUCCAGUCUUCUGUCAGGGUAGGGGAGAGGGAGCCACUUAAAGGCGUGGCCUUGAGGCUCUCUCAUUGUACAAGGGCUGCCUCUUUCACUGUCAUUGUCCUUGGGCCUCCACUUUAUCUACCUGUGGUUCCAUCUGCAUUUAGUGCUGCUGGUUCUGAGCCUUCUACACAUCCUGCUGUGGAAAUAGAAUUGGUACUCUGUAUUUUCUGCAGCUGACCUAGGGUCUGGCUGUCUAGGACCUGCUGAGUCAUUUACUGUGCUUAGAUCUUUUAUUGUUUCUCUUUCAGGUUUUUUUCUUUUUUACUAUUUGUUUUGUUUUUGUCUGUGCUAGACCUUUUCUCCAAGUUUCACAAAUUUUAACAUUUUCCCUGCUUUGAGUUCUCCUUGGCCUGUGUAUUUAGCUUAAAAAUUAAAAAAAAAUAUCCCUUUAGUAUAAUUUUAGUGGGAAGGAAUGAAAUAGCUCUGUAUAUUCUGAUUGCCAUCUUACGCUGAACUUAUUAGCUAACUUAUGCUUAUUGAUGUUUUAAUAGUUUUCAGUUAUUUCAUGUCCUUUUUCUUCAAGAAGAAUGUGGGUUUGAGAACAAGGUCUUGAUACAUUUUUUAUUCUUCAAGGUCUAGCAGUUUGCAUGGUAGGCAUAUAGGACUGUAAGAUGGUGAACACAGGAGAACUUGGUAAAAGCAGGUGGUUAUGUAUAUAUACAUCUUGUCUCUUUCAGGUUCUUGGACUACAAUGGAAAGUAGAAAGAGACACUAGAAGUAUUUUAAGUUGUCAUUAGAUUUCUUCGGAGUUACUGUUGCCUUUUGAGCUCCACCUAUUGUGCUGGGAUUACAGGCCUGUGCCAGUACACUUGGAUGGUAGAUAUAUCAUUUCUUGGCUUCCAUGCUUUAGUUUCAUUGAAGUCUCCAAGGAAAUAGAACUCAUUAGCUUACCAUCUUGAACCUGAAACCACUGAGGAUUUUGAGAGGUGUGAGAUAUGAUAUAUUGGUUUUUCAUGUGGAGAUUUGAAGAGGUAGGGAGGGGCAUGUUGGUUUGUUGCGUGAGGAUUUCAGGGGAGGUGAGGGUAUGCUGGUUUGUCAUGUUAGGAUUUUAGGAGGUGGGAGAUAUGUUGGUUUGCCAUGUGAAGAUUUUAGGUGGUGGGGGUGGUUUCUUGUGUGGCUUAGGAGAAAACGUCAUAGUUUUAGAGUCAUUUAUGCCUGAGGUCAAAA
ensembl:lncRNA